rnacentral:rRNA from 1 species
CCUACGGGAGGCAGCAGUGGGGGAUAUUGCACAAUGGGGGAAACCCUGAUGCAGCGACGCCGCGUGAGUGAAGAAGUAUUUCGGUAUGUAAAGCUCUAUCAGCAGGGAAGAAAAUGACAGUACCUGACCAAGAAGCCCCGGCUAACUCCGUGCCAGCAGCCGCGGUAAUACGUAGGGGGCAAGCGUUAUCCGGUUUUACUGGGUGUAAAGGGAGCGUAGACGGUUAUGUAAGUCUGGGGUGAAAGCCCGGGGCCCAACCCCGGGACUGCUUUGGAAACUGGGUAACUGGAGUGCAGGAGGGGCAGGCGGAAUUCCUGGUGUAGCGGUGAAAUGCGUAGAUAUCAGGAGGAACACCGGCGGCGAAGGCGGCCUGCUGGACUGAAACUGACGUUGAGGCUCGAAAGCGUGGGGAGCAAACAGGAUUAGAUACCCGGGUAGUC